rnacentral:tRNA from 1 species
GGCGUAGCUCAGUGGUAGAGCGUGCGCUUAGCAUGCACAAGGUCCUGGGUUCAGUUCCCAGGACUCCA